rnacentral:rRNA from 1 species
GACGAACGCUGGCGGCGUGCUUAACACAUGCAAGUCGAACGGAAAGGCCCUGCUUUUGUGGGGUGCUCGAGUGGCGAACGGGUGAGUAACACGUGAGUAACCUGCCCUUGACUUUGGGAUAACUUCAGGAAACUGGGGCUAAUACCGGAUAGGAGCUCCUGCUGCAUGGUGGGGGUUGGAAAGUUUCGGCGGUUGGGGAUGGACUCGCGGCUUAUCAGCUUGUUGGUGGGGUAGUGGCUUACCAAGGCUUUGACGGGUAGCCGGCCUGGGAGGGUGACCGGCCACAUUGGGACUGAGAUACGGCCCAGACUCCUACGGGAGGCAGCAGUGGUGAAUAUUGCACAAUGGGCGGAAGCCUGAUGCAGCAACGCCGCGUGCGGGAUGACGGCCUUCGGGUUAUAAACCGCUUUCGCCUGUGACGAAGCGUGAGUGACGGUAAUGGGUAAAGAAGCACCGGCUAACUACGUG